CGGCCGCGUCGACGUGGGAUCAGCAAUGAUCGGUAGGGAGCAUUCCAUUCCGCGUCGAAGGCGUGGCGUGAGCCAUUCUGGAGCGUAUGGAAAAGCAAAUGUAGGUAUAAGUAACGAUAAAGGGGGUGAGAAACCCCCUCGCCGAAAGACUAAGGUUUCCUGAUCAACGCUAAUCGGAUCAGGGUCAGUCGGGUCCUAAGGAGAGACCGAAAGGUGUAUCCGAUGGACAACAGGUUGAUAUUCCUGUACUAGAGUAUAUAGUGAUGGAGGGACGCAGUAAGCUAACUAAACCAGAGAUUGUCGACGCGGCCG
rnacentral:rRNA from 1 species